AGGGAAUAUUGGGCAAUGGGCGCAAGCCUGACCCAGCAACGCCGCGUGAGGGAAGAAGGUUUUCGGAUUGUAAACCUCUGUCCUAUGUGACGAAGGAAGUGACGGUAGCAUAGGAGGAAGCCCCGGCUAACUACGUGCCAGCAGCCGCGGUAAUACGUAGGGGGCGAGCGUUGUCCGGAAUUACUGGGCGUAAAGGGUGCGUAGGCGGUUUGGUAAGUUGGAUGUGAAAUACCCGGGCUUAACUUGGGGGCUGCAUCCAAUACUGUCGGACUUGAGUGCAGGAGAGGAAAGCGGAAUUCCUAGUGUAGCGGUGAAAUGCGUAGAUAUUAGGAGGAACACCGGUGGCGAAGGCGGCUUCCUGGACUGUAACUGACGCUGAGGCACGAAAGCGUGGGGAGCAAAC
rnacentral:rRNA from 1 species